GUAAAUAUUUUAAAUUUUUUAAAGUUAAUCAUUAUAAACUCCAAUUGGUAUGUUGUUCUAUUAAAUAUCAAGUAGUCUUGUUUGUCACCAUAAAUUUAAAUUUUUGACUACUAUUUUUUGUUCUAUUGGUAGAGUCUUAUCCACAUAAUGCGAAGUUAUCUAAUGUUCUCAGUAUUUGAUGACAAUCAUAUGAAGCUAUAAGAUUAUUUUUUACUUAACCAUUGUCGCAAAGAAGUACUUGAGUCUGUUUGAUGAAGAGGGAAAACGCUUG
rnacentral:misc_RNA from 1 species